rnacentral:ncRNA from 1 species
AGGUCGCUGUAAAACGUUGCAGCUUUCCCGAGUAAUCGGGAUUGAAAAAUCGGGCUAAUUCGAGGAAACCCGCCCCAGGCGGGUAAUCUCGAGCUAAAUUCAUGUAUAAAACGUGAUAAAUGUGUAGAGACUAUAUACCCGAGUCCGAUGUAACAUCGGACAAGAAAUAGUCCACCCCUUAAAGCAAUUUAAGG